AGUGAACGCUGGCGGUAGGCCUAACACAUGCCAGUCGAACGGCAGCACAGUAAGAGCUUGCUCUUACGGGUGGCGAGUGGCGGACGGGUGAGGAAUACAUCGGAAUCUACUUUUUCGUGGGGGAUAACGUAGGGAAACUUACGCUAAUACCGCAUACGACCUACGGGUGAAAGCAGGGGAUCUUCGGACCUUGCGCGAUUGAAUGAGCCGAUGUCGGAUUAGCUAGUUGGCGGGGUAAAGGCCCACCAAGGCGACGAUCCGUAGCUGGUCUGAGAGGAUGACCAGCCACACGGGAAUGGAGAAGGGUCCCAGACUCCUGCGGGGGGCGGAAGGGGGGAUUUUUGGACAAGGGGGGAAGGCCUGAUCCGGCUUUCCCGGGGGGGUGAAGAGGGCCUCCGGGUUUUAAGACCCUUUUUUGGGGAAAAAAAAGCAGCGGGUAAAUCCCCCGCUGUUCUGACGGUACCCAAAGAAAAAGCACCGGCAAGCUUGGUG
rnacentral:rRNA from 1 species